GUUGCGGCGCGUCUUUAAUUUGCAUUAGAGGACCACAUAAGUCGGCAACCUUACGAUAGGUGCGUUUGUACGAAACAGAGAGGAUUUAUUCGGCAACAUUUCGGAAACGGGAGACCUGUUUUUUCGUACUCUAGAAGUCAUGACACGUUGAGAAAAUAUGAAAGGUAUUCGUCGAAUGGAUUGGCUUACUAUACGUCCUUGGUUUACGUUUGGUAUUUCAGCGCCGUAUAACCAGGCAACCAAACAUACGUCUGGUACGCGUCAUCAGAACGCGCGACUACGCGCGAGCGGCGAAUAGCUGAAGACAAGGACAACAAGAUGAAGGGACCGAAAUUCUCGCUCUUCCAUUCGCGCUCUCGAAGAAACGAGAAUGCUAUCAUAGGUCAAUCCCUCCAUUAACUUUUUUAAGUCUCUGUUAUUUAUUGUUAAUGUAAAAAUAUAGUAAUAAAAUACUACAACAUUA